GGGGGCCCCAAAAAGCGGAGGAGAAGAAACCAACAGGGAUUGCCUCAGUAACGGCGAGUGAAGCGGCAACAGCUCAAAUUUGAAAUCUGACUUCGGUCCGAGUUGUAAUUUGUAGAGGAAGUCUCGGGUGCGAUACCGGUCUAAGUUCCUUGGAACAGGACGUCAUAGAGGGUGAGAAUCCCGUAUGCGACUGGUGGUCAACCCCAUGUGAGGCCCCUUCGACGAGUCGAGUUGUUUGGGAAUGCAGCUCAAAAUGGGUGGUAAAUUUCAUCUAAAGCUAAAUACCGGCCAGAGACCGAUAGCGCACAAGUAGAGUGAUCGAAAGAUGAAAAGCACUUUGGAAAGAGAGUUAAAAAGUACGUGAAAUUGUUGAAAGGGAAGCGCUUGCAACCAGACUUGCUCGCGGGUGAUCCACCGUCCCUCGGGGCGGUCUACUCUCCCGUGAUCAGGCCAACAUCGGUUUCGGUGGCUGGAUACAGGCUCCGGGAAUGUGGCUCCCUCCGGGGAGUGUUAUAGCCCGGGGUGCAAUGCAGCCCGCCGGGACCGAGGACCGCGCUUCGGCUAGGAUGUUGGCGUAAUGGUUGUCAGCGACCCGUCUUGAAACACGGACCAAGGAGUCUAACAUCUAUGCGAGUGUUUGGGUGUCAAACCCAUACGCGUAAUGAAAGUGAACGGAGGUGGGAACCCCUUCCGGGGCGCACCAUCGACCGAUCCUGAUGUCUUCGGAUGGAUUUGAGUAUGAGCAUAGCUGUUGGGACCCGAAAGAUGGUGAACUAUGCCUGAAUAGGGUGAAGCCAGAGGAAACUCUGGUGGAGGCUCGCAGCGGUUCUGACGUGCAAAUCGAUCGUCAAAUUUGGGUAUAGGGGCGAAAGACUAAUCGAACCAUCUAGUAGCUGGACCUGUCGAGAAUUCCC
rnacentral:rRNA from 1 species